rnacentral:miRNA from 1 species
GCUACGCAGACUUUCUGUAC